GACGAACGCUGGCGGCGCGCCUAACACAUGCAAGUCGAACGAGAGAUGAGGAGCUUGCUCUUCAAAUCGAGUGGCGAACGGGUGAGUAACGCGUGAGGAACCUGCCUCAAAGAGGGGGACAACAGUUGGAAACGACUGCUAAUACCGCAUAAGCCCACGGCUCGGCAUCGAGCAGAGGGAAAAGGAGCAAUCCGCUUUGAGAUGGCCUCGCGUCCGAUUAGCUAGUUGGUGAGGUAACGGCCCACCAAGGCGACGAUCGGUAGCCGGACUGAGAGGUUGAACGGCCACAUUGGGACUGAGACACGGCCCAGACUCCUACGGGAGGCAGCAGUGGGGGAUAUUGCACAAUGGGGGAAACUCUGAUGCAGCGACGCCGCGUGAGUGAAGAAGUAUUUCGGUAUGUAAAGCUCUAUCAGCAGGGAAGACAGUGACGGUACCUGACUAAGAAGCUCCGGCUAAAUACGUG
rnacentral:rRNA from 1 species